rnacentral:rRNA from 1 species
GACGAACGCUGGCGGCGUGCUUAACACAUGCAAGUCGAACGGAAAGGCCCUGCUUUUGUGGGGUGCUCGAGUGGCGAACGGGUGAGUAACACGUGAGUAACCUGCCCUUGACUUUGGGAUAACUUCAGGAAACUGGGGCUAAUACCGGAUAGGAGCUCCUGCUGCAUGGUGGGGGUUGGAAAGUUUCGGCGGUGGGGGAUGGACUCGCGGGUUAUCAGCUUGUUGGUGGGGUAGUGGCUUACCAAGGCUUUGACGGGUAGCCGGCCUGAGAGGGUGACCGGCCACAUUGGGACUGAGAUACGGCCCAGACUCCUAUGGGAGGCAGCAGUGGGGAAUAUUGCACAAUGGGCGGAAGCCUGAUGCAGCAACGCCGCGUGCGGGAUGACGGCCUUCGGGUUGUAAACCGCUUUCGCCUGUGACGAAGCGUGAGUGACGGUAAUGGGUAAAGAAGCACCGGCUAACUACGUG